GGCUAUCACUUACAGAUGGGCCCGCGGUGCAUUAGCUAGUUGGUGAGGUAACGGCUCACCAAGGCAACGAUGCAUAGCCGACCUGAGAGGGUGAUCGGCCACACUGGGACUGAGACACGGCCCAAACUCCUACGGGAGGCAGCAGUAGGGAAUCUUCCGCAAUGGACGAAAGUCUGACGGAGCAACGCCGCGUGAGUGAUGAAGGCUUUCGGGUCGUAAAACUCUGUUGUUAGGGAAGAACAAGUACGAGAGUAACUGCUCGUACCUUGACGGUACCUAACCAGAAAGCCACGGCUAACUACGUGCCAGCAGCCGCGGUAAUACGUAGGUGGCAAGCGUUAUCCGGAAUUAUUGGGCGUAAAGCGCGCGCAGGCGGUUUCUUAAGUCUGAGAGUGACAGGUGGUGCAUGGUUGUCGUCAGCUCGUGUCGUGAGAUGUUGGGUUAAGUCCCGCAACGAGCGCAACCCUUGAUCUUAGUUGCCAGCAUUUAGUUGGGCACUCUAAGGUGACUGCCGGUGACAAACCGGAGGAAGGUGGGGAUGACGUCAAAUCAUCAUGCCCCUUAUGACCUGGGCUACACACGUGCUACAAUGGAUGGUACAAAGGGCUGCAAGACCGCGAGGUCAAGCCAAUCCCAUAAAACCAUUCUCAGUUCGGAUUGUAGGCUGCA
rnacentral:rRNA from 2 species